rnacentral:piRNA from 1 species
UUGUACAUAGACUCCAAGAGCAGAG